rnacentral:lncRNA from 1 species
AGGCGAAUAAGUAAAUAUUAGAAAUAUAACUGACCUCAUGCACUUUUUAUUGUCAUCUAACAACUGAAUUUUCUUUAAAGAAAAAACCGAUCAUCAACAAAAAAAACAAGUGUAUUUAUUAUCUAUCAUCCGAUAAUGACAUGAUAUAGAAAAUUAUACAAAGAAACCAGCGUCUACUGACUUCAUAUGAAGAGAUAAAUCAACCCAUGAAGUUGAAGGGGGAUUGGUAGGCAAAGAUACUCUGGAAAAAGGUAAAAUAAAAUUACAAAAAGUUAUUUUAGAAUAAUAUCACAAAUGCAAAUAUUUAAAUCAGUUUACCACUACUCAUUGUUCAUCAACACCAUCAUCGACAUCCAACGUCGUUGAUCCCAAAUUCACAUCCAUGAUUCCACAUCCUACAAAAUGUGCAUUCAAGUUAAAAUUUUAUAAUUUAUUGUUGACCAUUAAUUAUAUACAGUUAGGAACUUUGGAUCAAUCCCUUCCAACAUGCAAUUGAGCAAUCUAGACAACAUAUCUCCCCUUAGUAUAUGGCAGUCUUCAGAACAUGCAUGAUACACACUGAUAGUACAAGGUCCAACACACAGACCAUAGUACUAAAAGACGUAUCCCAAGGUAUCUAAUACGCAGAGGAAGGGGGAGUACUGGUGAUACAGUAUCCCGAACCCAGUCAUAACCUACCAGCAACUAGAAGUCCGGAUAGCUAAGAUGAGUUAAGGUGCCUAUUCUAGGGUUGGGGAGGUCCCAAGUCGAAUCCUAGGAAGAUCGACUUUCCUGAGGAUCGACUUCCCUGGGAUCGACUUCUGAAUAAAGUCGAUCACCAGGAAAGUCGACUCCCAGAAAGUCGAUCUCUGGAAAGUCGAUCUCUGGCCCCAAUCUGAUCAGUUAGGCAGUUAGGCGGUUACUGUCCAAAUAACCAGAUUACCCCCAUAAGAACCCCUAUAAAUAGGAGGCAUCCCCCACUCAUUAAAGGCAGGUCAUUUAGAGCGAAAGGAUUCCUAGCGAAGCAGAGCUCUGCGCA